rnacentral:tRNA from 1 species
UGGGGCGUAAUGUCCUCUUUCUGA